AGUGAACGCUGGCGGUAGGCCUAACACAUGCAAGUCGAACGGCAGCACGGUAAGAGCUUGCUCUUACGGGUGGCGAGUGGCGGACGGGUGAGGAAUACAUCGGAAUCUACUUUUUCGUGGGGGAUCACGUAGGGAAACUUACGCUAAUACCGCAUACGCCCUACGGGUGAAAGCAGGGGAUCUUCGGACCUUGCGCGAUUGAAUGAGCCGAUGUCGGAUUAGCUAGUUGGCGGGGUAAAGGCCCACCAAGGCGACGAUCCGUAGCUGGUCUGAGAGGAUGAUCAGCCACACUGGAACUGAGACACGGUCCAGACUCCUACGGGAGGCAGCAGUGGGGAAUAUUGGACAAUGGGCGCAAGCCUGAUCCAGCCAUACCGCGUGGGUGAAGAAGGCCUUCGGGUUGUAAAGCCCUUUUGUUGGGAAAGAAAAGCAGCAGGUUAAUACCCCGCUGUUCUGACGGUACCCAAAGAAUAAGCACCGGCUAACUUCGUG
rnacentral:rRNA from 1 species